rnacentral:rRNA from 1 species
AUUGAACGCUGGCGGCAUGCUUUACACAUGCAAGUCGAACGGUAACAGGUCUUCGGAUGCUGACGAGUGGCGAACGGGUGAGUAAUACAUCGGAACGUGCCUAGUAGUGGGGGAUAACUACUCGAAAGAGUAGCUAAUACCGCAUGAGAUCUACGGAUGAAAGCAGGGGACCUUCGGGCCUUGUGCUACUAGAGCGGCUGAUGGCAGAUUAGGUAGUUGGUGGGGUAAAGGCUUACCAAGCCUGCGAUCUGUAGCUGGUCUGAGAGGACGACCAGCCACACUGGGACUGAGACACGGCCCAGACUCCUACGGGAGGCAGCAGUGGGGAAUUUUGGACAAUGGGCGAAAGCCUGAUCCAGCAAUGCCGCGUGCAGGAUGAAGGCCCUCGGGUUGUAAACUGCUUUUGUACGGAACGAAAAGCCUGGGGCUAAUAUCCCCGGGUCAUGACGGUACCGUAAGAAUAAGCAC